rnacentral:tRNA from 1 species
UGACUAUUAGCUCAGCCCGGUUAGAGCACGCCCCUGAUAAGGGCGGAGUCCCUGGUUCGAAUCCAGGAUGGUCAA